CUCGUUACAUUGUCUUUCUUAGACUACUUUGAGGAUGUCAAUCAGACGCAGGAACCAACUGUCUAGAAAGAUGUUCCGGUCCAGCUCCCUCGGCUGAAGCAGCUUCUUCGGGCUGCUGCCGAUCCAGCACCUCCUGGAUCUCCACUCGCAAGUCCGUGGAGAACAGAACUUUGUGACCAGCUUGUCAAGGAAGAGCCAAGCGCUGCAUGGGAUGAAGCGAAUGCGUUGAGCCUCUCUGCCUCUCAGCUUGUUCUGACGCAGAUAUAAACCCGCUGUGCAGAUCGGCGGGGAGCUGUCGGAUGUGUAUGACUUUGUGGCCCCGUGGUACAGUCUAGGUUGCGUGCAUUUUCAAGUGCUGAGACUUUGCUGCUGCAACUUACAGCUAUGAGAUCUUCCUGCUGAUGGUGCAGCUGUAUACGGGGUGCUUCAUCCAGAUGCUGAGGGCCCUGGCUGACCGUGCAAGUGACCACAUCCUCAAGGUCGGUGUACAUUGUGGAGCUUUCGAGUAACUUCUAAACAGGUAACGAGCUGGGUUGUACAAUAUCAAGAGCAGUUGCUAAACUUAGGGGUGGAUGAGUUAAGCACCGCGCUACUUGCCAAGGACUCGCCAGAGUAGAACCACCGCCUAUCGAUAAGAUCUCGUUUGCGGCCUUACGCAGGGAGAUGGAAGGCGCUGGCUAUGCUACUGCGGGAGAGGAGAAUCGGAGGCUGGCUCAGGUCUACUGCGAUUGAGCAGCUGAUUACUCUAGGAAAACAGGUGGUUAUUCUAUAAACUGGAGGGUUUACUUCUUCCUGUGUUCAAUAUCAUUCUUAUAAAAACUCAAACCAUUUCCUGUCGCAAA